rnacentral:rRNA from 1 species
AGUGAACGCUGGCGGUAGGCCUAACACAUGCAAGUCGAACGGCAGCACAGUUAGAGCUUGCUCUUACGGGUGGCGAGUGGCAGACGGGUGGGGAAUACAUCGGAAUCUACUUUUUCGUGGGGGAUAACGUGGGGAAACUUACGCUAAUACCGCAUACGACCUCCGGGUGAAAGCAGGGGAUCUUCGUACCUUGCGCGAUUGAAUGAGACGAUGUCGGAUUAGCUAGUAGGCGGGGUAAAGGCCCACCAAGGCGACGAUCCGUAGCUGGUCUGAGAGGAUGAUCAGCCACACGAGAACGGGGACACGGUCCAGACUCCUACGAGAGGCAGCAGUGGGGAAUAUUGGGCAAUGGGCGCAAGCCUGAUCCAGCCAUACCGCGUGGGUGAAGAAGGCCUUCGGGUUGUAAAGCCCUUUUGUUGGGAAAGAAAAGCAGCAGGUUAAUACCCCGCUGUUCUGACGGUACCCAAAGAAUAAGCACCGGCUAACUUCGUG